rnacentral:lncRNA from 1 species
GACUCAGAGUCCUUGUCAUCAUGCCUACGUAUGCUGUUCUUUGAUGAGUAUCUUGAUGUUUGAAUGGUAUUUUAUAGAUACCAGGUUUUUUCAAAUCCUCCCUCCUAUCUAUAGACUACCAUUCGAAUAUCAAGAUAUUCGUCAAACAGCAGCAUAUGUGGGUGUGAUGGCAGGGACUUUGGGUCGAAGGCUUAAGGAGUAUGGGAGAGAUAUGGAAGGUGGUGAAUUUGUGCACUGCAUUAGCAACGGAGUCCUGUAGUGUGAACGUGGGGGUGGAUUGGCGCAAUGCUGGAAUUCUAAAGCACAUUGGAAAUGAAUCACAGGCCAUGCUGGUAGAGACGAUUGGGAUG